AUAGUUGUUUUAUCUGUGCUAUUGGGGGAUAAAAACGAGCAGCUCCUAAUUGUUAAAGUUAGAUCAAAUAAGAUCACCAUAUCAAACAUUUAUCACUUGUUGAUAUCCACGCCUCGGUAGGACGCAGAGACGAGGUUACAGCGCUGCCCCUGUCAUCUGAGACUGGAGUCCCAGUUGGUGAUGGCUGAUUGGUGUGGGCUGUACCUGAAUGAAAGAGGAGAGAAACAGAUGGAUGUGAGAGAGUCCAGACACAGAGGUAUCAGCGUCACGCAGUCAGAAACUGGAUGCUGAUGAAGGACUAGAGGAUGACUCUAACACAACACAAUACAGUGACAGGAGGAAUGGAACAGAGGAGACACAAACAGUCCAACUGGGAAGAUGAUGUCGUUACCCAAGAGAAAUGGACUCAUGUACAACCUAACCCAGGACAGAUGUGAAGGUUU